CCUACGGGGGGCAGCAGUAGGGAAUUUUGCGCAAUGGGCGAAAGCCUGACGCAGCAACGCCGCGUGAUCGAGACGCCCUUCGGGGUGUAAAGAUCUGUCAGUGGGGACGAAACUUGACGGUACCCACAGAGGAAGCACCGGCUAACUCCGUGCCAGCAGCCGCGGUAAUACGGGGGGUGCAAGCGUUGUCCGGAAUCAUUGGGCGUAAAGAGUUCGUAGGCGGCACGUAAAGUCUGGUGUUAAAGGCAGAGGCUCAACUUCUGUACGGCACUGGAUACUUGCGAGCUAGAAUGCGGUAGAGGUAA
rnacentral:rRNA from 1 species